GAGGCUUCUUUUGAAGACUUGCUUUCACCCCUCAACACUCCAGGUUUUUCUAACAUGCCUAAAAACCCCACUCUCCAUGGAUACAAAGCUGGACAUGAGAUCCUGGCUUGGCUACUCAGAGUUCUCUCAAAUUUCCUGAAUUUGAGAAAUGAUGUUGUUAAUUACAAAUCUCUGCUCUUUCAUAUUGACUCUAAAAUGGAAUCUGCCUCUGUCACCAGGCUGGAGUGUAGUGGUGUGAUCUUGGCUCACUGCAACCUCUGCCUCCCGGGUUCAAGCAAUUUUCCUGCCUCAGCCUCCCAAGUAGCUGGGAUUACAGGCACGCACCACCAUGCCCAGCUAAUUUUUGUAUUUUUAGUAGAGACGAGGUUUCACCAUGUUGGCCAGGAUGGUCCCGAUCUCUUGACCUCGUGAUCCACCCGCCUUGGCUUCCCAAAGUGCUGGGAUUACAGGCUUGAGCCACUGCACCCAGCCUAUAUUGCUAAUAAACUAAUAUUAUCUCAUUGUUCUAAUAUUGUUUAUGUAUUAUCUCUUCCCUUUCAAUAUUUAUACUUAUUGCUUCCUUUUGUUUAUAAUUUAUGUCACUCCAUGUUUCAGAAUCAAGCAUCCUAUUUGAGUUGAGGUCUGUCACUAGCAUAAGAAUGAUAAAACAGUUGUGCAGUUCUGGGUCACAUGCAUUUAUUCCCAAUUGAAAUAAAAUGCAUCAAGAUUUUAUAUGUGAAGUAUAAUGAUUGCUAUAAAUUUUGGAACAUAGUCUUAAUGGAGAUUAGGACAUUCUUUUACAUUUCUUUUUUACUAAAAGUGAUUACCAAAACUUUUAG
rnacentral:lncRNA from 1 species